ensembl:lncRNA
CUGCUAAGCUUGUACACACUGCAGUGGGGUGAGGAGUACAGAAGGGCAGGAAGAAGAAAGCAGUAGUGGUAUGGGGAAAGAGAAGAAUGACAGAAGGAGACAGCUGGAAGGAGUGGGAUUGGUUGCGAUAUUUAAAAAUAUAAAACCUUAGUGCAAGUAAGAGCUGUGAUGCUAGAUCAAAAUGAUUUGGAUUAUGCAAUGCAUGCGGUGCAAAGAAGAGGAAAACCACAGUCUCAUCAUGCAGAAACAGCUUACUCCUUUGUAUAGCAAAAGGUUAUUGCAUCUAAAAUAGCACCGAAGCCCACUGAAAACUGGGAGAAGAAAAUUAACUACAUUAUUGCUGUGAAAUAUCUCUUCAAACUUGUAUUUGCAUCAGAAAGUUCACUGAGGGUUUCCUCUCUUUAAAAAUUCAGUUGAAAUGCUGCUUAGAGAGCUCCUAACUACAGAAUGAUAUAAGUAGCUUUAAAGGAAAUGAUGAGCUGAUUCUUGACUGAUGUAAAUCACCAGAGCUCUGCUAGAGUAAGUGGAAACCUGCUCAAUGGACAGUUCUAAUUUCAAAUAAGAUACAGGCUGCAGGUCCGCCAAAAUAGUUUCCAUGCACUUUCUUUAAACCGCGGUGAGAAAAGGAAAAUUGGCUUUUCCACCCCUCUGGUUUCUGUGGGUGCCUCUUGUGAGAUGGCUCGCUGAUGGGGCAGAAGGAAAUGCAAAAACAUACCUUCCUUUUUGUCACACGCGGGUAAAUCACAGGCAGAAUUUGAAGGGCUGCACUGCUGCAGGAAAGCAGAGGGAGCACAUGGCUGCACGCAGAGCUGCCUCGUCUCAGGGUGGUUUGCCAGCACCUUCUGUGCCAGGCAGGAGGUCUACCUGGCUUGGUAAUUCAUCUGUGAGGUUUAGCCAUUGAUUUCCGUUAUAUUCUGUACAAAUAAUCUGUGUUCUGUGUAAGUAAAUCAAGGCUGAUUUCUGACAGCCCUAAGAUGACUUGUUGCUAACUGCCAAAAUCCGGCUUCUCUGCAGCCAAGCCUGUCCAGCUGCCAUCUGCGUCAGCCUGGGUUUUAUGGUGGCUCUUUGCAGCAGCUAGAAGCUCCAACCUCUCCCCAGGUGGACUUUUAAUGUGCUCCUGAAUUAUUAACAGCACCAAAUUUCAGACACAAAACCACUUUGCACCCAUUAGAGCGGCUCUGUGCAUUGAACCGACAUCUACAUGAUGCUCCUUCCCAACAAGUCUGUAUGUAAAUGAGGAACCCACUGCAAUUCUCAAUUUCGAGUCAUAGAACAGCCUUCAGCACCAGCAGCUGAUGACUUAACACGGUUUAAUUGGCUUGGGAGCAUUCCCAGGCCACUGCUGAAAUGAAAUAUGCGCACAACUUCAGGCUCACUCAAUGACAACCAAAAAUUUUUAGGUUGCCAGGCCUGGGGAGAUUUCUCUGCGGAGCAGGGCUGCUUCUUCAAAAGCAGUGAUGUUCUUCUGGAGGCUAGGGAAAAAAAAAAGUCAUAUUUUUGCAUAAUCACAGCUUUCAGUAGAACAAAAUUCAUGGCUCUGUGGGAAAUCACAAAACAAAAAGUCUUAGCAAGCAUGAAGUCCUCAGUGCACUGACAUGUUAAUAUAAGAGAAAAAUUGCCUUGCACAAAAGGGACCACGAGGGCUGCUGAUACCAUUUUUCUCUUGCUGGGUCUUUAUUCAAGUUCUUGUCACAGUUACUACAGUUUGAAGGUCUCUGUGAACAGCUCAGCUCAAAGCCCUGCCUCCUCCUGUUGCUCAGCCCUCCUGCAGCAGAGGCCUCUCACCUGCUGAGAAUCCAAGACCCACCUCUCCACCCCUGAGCUGCAAACUGCUGCACUCUUCCUAUCCAACUGAGUAGUUGUCCAGAGAAGUGGUGGAUGCCCCGUCCCUGGAGACAUUCAAUGUCAAGC